AAAAAAAACCCAACAAAACAUGAAUUAGGACAUUGUGCUUCCCAGAGUUAACAGCAAGGAGAAGAAAUGUGAGAAGAAGAAACCUGUCCAAGACAUAAACAUGGCCUUAUAAAGUGCUGGCUGUUUUCUAAAAGAGAGGGUUUGUUGCCUAGUUUGGUCCAUGGGAGUCUCUGUGUGUGUGUUCACAGACAGUCACAGAAUCAUAUUAAAUGACACUGGAAAAGGCUACCUGGCCUUUAAACUUUUCAGUAAGAUGGUUUUACCAAAACUUGUCCUUUAACAGUGCAAUUAAUCAGAGAUAGGUCAGUGAUAUGUAGAUACAGCACUUCAUGCUCAGUAAUACAAAUUCUAUUGAUAAAACCAUUGCUUCCUUGGCUGGAUGCUACAUUACACUUUUUCCUUUUGUUUUUCAGAGAACUCAACUCCCAAACUGCCUAGGUUAGUGCUAGGAUAAAGAAGGUUUGCUUCUGAUUGUAUUACUGGCAUCAUCCAUGUUCUAGCAUAAUUAAAAAAAAACCAAACAAAAAGGCAUGCUGUGUGAAUAAGUUUUGCUCUCUGCUGCAGUGCCAGGCCUUGAGGAGGCAGGAGGAGGAGAUGUUGCCCAUUCCUUUUCUGAACUUCCUUUUGCACAGAAUGAAUUUAAGAGUCUCAACAAAAACUUGAGAAAACUGGACAGAGACAGAGAGACUGAGACUAAUCCCCAGAGUGAAAAGAGAGAAUUUCCUGGGAAAGAGGUUCAAAGAGGAGCCAGGUACCACAAGCAAAGAGAUGAAGAUGAGUGAGUGGAUGUCUCUUCUGUCAGAUGUUUGGGGUUUUCCAUCUUAUGGAGGCCAGGUGCAAACUUUAAAGUCACUAUGUUGUACAGUGACUUGACUGUUAAAUUAAACAUGAAGGGUUGUGUCAGUAUUCCAUUAUGAGGGUUAUGAAAAAU